AUCCAGUUGACGAGUUCCGAAUAGGACGAAAUGAGCGUUCUAGAU
rfam:Schistosoma mattheei strain Denwood, Zambia genome assembly, scaffold: SMTD_contig0009207